UGGCCACAUCAGUUCCCAUACGUUCACUGAAGUUAAGCAACAUCGAGCCUGAUCAGUAUGUAGAUGGAUGACCACUUGGAAAUACCUGGUGCUAUA